UCCAUUCCUUUGUGGUAUUGAGUACUAGUACACCUACAGAAAUACUAGUAGCAACAGCUUCUUCUUCAAAAGGAACCAGGUAGCUAAACAUUGAUGGAUACCAGGCUAAAGUAAUGCUAGCUGUGAUUUGUUAGGUGGGACUGUACACAUCUGUUCAGGCAAUGUUUCCAUGACCUAUUGUACAGUGUCAUGUAAAAAUGGCCAGUAACAUUACAAAAUGUAUGUGAAGUUCGAUAACAAAGGAGUUAACCUCCUUCAUCAUAAUCAUUGAUAUUGAUUUAUUUUAUUAAUUUGUAAUUGACAGUUUUAAAAGCAAAUGCAACGCUUUCUAAGGAUAUGAAACACAAUCUUGUUGAUAAAAGGAACACAUGUAUGAUUGACCAAAGUUUCUAAGCUUUCCUUCAUAAUCUUACAUGUGUAUGCUGAGUGCUUUCUUCACUAUUGUCUAACAAGAAAGCUUUAGAAAAUUCAUGUACAUGUACAUUGUAUAGCUGGAACUGGUUUUGAAGGCCCAGAGUCCUUAUUAUAAUUAUCUGUAUGGUUGUAAGUAAGUUGUGUA